GAAAGUGGGUCAAGUUGGCAGUGUGGUUAGCUGGUUGUGUAGUUUAAAUUCACUGCCACUUCCUGCACUGCCCUUUUGAUUCGCCGAAA
rnacentral:pre_miRNA from 1 species